GAGAGGAAUGAGUAAUAAAAGUGAAAACAAUUUGAAAUAGAUUUCAGUUUUUAAUUUUUGUUUUCACUUUUGUUACUCAUUCCUCUCAUCAACUCCU
rnacentral:miRNA from 1 species